CCAGCAGCCGCGGUAAUACGUAGGUGGCAAAGGUUGUCCGGAAUUAUUGGGCGUAAAGCGCGCGCAGGCGGUCCUUUAAUUUGAUGUGAAAGCCCACGGUUUCAACCGUGGAGGGUCAUUGGAAACUGGGGGACUUGAGUGCAGAAGAGAAGAAGUGGAAUUCCACGUGUAGCGGUGAAAUGCGUAGAGAUGUGGAGGAACACCAGUGGCGAAGGCGACUCUUUGGUCUGUAACUGACGCUGAGGCGCGAAAGCGUGGGGAGCAAACAGGAUUAGAUACCCUGGUAGUUCACGCCGUAAACGAUGAGUGCUAAGUGUUAGAGGGUUUUCGCCCUUUAGUGCUGCAGCAAACGCAUUAAGCACUCCGCCUGGGGAGUACGGCCGCAAGGGUGAAACUCAAAGGAAUUGACGGGGGCCCGCACAAGCGGUGGAGCAUGUGGUUUAAUUUGAAGCAACGCGAAGAACCUUACCAGGUCUUGACAUCCUUUGACACUCCUAGAGAUAGGAAGUUUCCCUUUGGGGGACAGAGUGACAGGUGGUGCAUGGUUGUUGUCAGCUUGUGUUGUGAGAUGUUGGGUUAAGUCCCGCAACGAGCGCAACCCUUGAUUUUAGUUGCCAGCCUUAAGUUGGGCACUUUAAGGUGACUGCCGGGGACAAACCGGAGGAAGGGGGGGAAGACGUCAAAUCAUCAUGCCCCUUAUGACCUGGGCUACACACGUGGUACAAUGGAUGGUACAAAGGGCAGCAAAACCGGGAGGUCGAGCAAAUCCCAUAAAACCAUUCUCAGUUCGGAUUGUAGGGUGCAACUUGCCUACAUGAAGCUGGAAUCGCUAGUAAUCGCGGAUCAGCAUGCCGCGGUGAAUACGUUCCCGGGCCUUGUACACCCCGCCCGUCACCCCCCGAGAGUUUGAACCCCCGAAGUCGGGGGGAAC
rnacentral:rRNA from 1 species